ensembl:lncRNA
AAAACUCCCAAAGGCUAGGGUCUCCCUGCCCACGUACCCAAAGACAUCCAGGAAAGGGACAAAGGAAACAGUGGGUCUGUUGACACCAAUGGGUAGGACCAGCAUGAAAACAGUAGUACAAAAGACCUGGUCACACAGGCUCAGCCACAGAGGCAGGUGCUCCUGUCCCCAGGUUACAGACAUGGAGACUGAGGCAAGCAAGAGUCCACACCUCAGCAUACGGUAGCAAGGCCUCUCAGAGCCUGCUCCACCCUCACCGCUGCCAUUCUUCUGGCCAUUCUUCCUUCCAUGUCCCCCUCCAGGCCUGUCCUUAAUCUGCUUAGCACAGUGGCUAGUGUAGGGUGACUAGUGUGGGGUGUCUGUGAAUAUUGCAUAAAUCAAUACUUUCAUGGCUCCAACAACAGCACUGAGCAUGUAUGGAAGUGCUAGGGAUCAAACACAGGGCCUCACCCAUGCUAGGCAAGUCCCCUACCACUGAUACACCCCCAGCCCGCUAUAUGGAAUUUCUUAAAAGUUAUCUAAAUGGCUUCCCUACCAGAGUUCCUCAUUUCUGCCACCUGAUGACUUCCAUUCCCAGACAAACUAAAGCCAAAGUCCUAGACUAUGGGUCCCUGUUCAUCCCUGAGCAGACAGAUCCUGCUGUAGAGAGCUGAAGAUAGGCCUGUUUCCAUCUUCCCACUUUUGUCCAGAUGAGGGACUCUUUAUCUGCUGCCACUCCCUCACUUUCUUUCCUACAAGCUAAUAAAAAAACCCUUCUAAGAUAUGAUUCAAGAAAAUAUCUUUUAUGCAGUCUUUUCUGACAACUCCCAUCCCAUACCAAUUAGAACUAAAAACCCUUUUUGUGAUCCAACACCACCCCUGUUCAUAUCCACCCAGCAGCAGCUCCUCUGAAGGUGGGGCUCACAUCUGGGAUCUGCAUCUUUAGGUCUGGCACAGGCCUGCCUUCAGUAGACACUCCACUCUGCUCCCUGGGAGUAUCUCUGGGGAGAAGCCACUCCCAUGUGGCUGAGACUGUCAGGAUCAGGGAUUUCUCCUUCCGAAGGGAGAAUCACCCACCUCUUGGGGGAGAUAGGAGCAGAGAGGAGACCCCUGGGUGAAAGGACCUGUACAAUUUUAGAGAAAGAAAGAACAGGAGACAUCAGUGUGGCCCCACGGGGAACCCAACCCGCUGGCAUCCUGCACCAGGACAGAGCACAAAACCUUACCCCUCCUCCUGCCUUUUAUCUUGGGAAACCAUAAAGCCCACUCUGUAGGCCAGCAACCUGUAGGAAGGCACAAAGGGGCCACAGUGGUUGUUUGGCCUUCCUCUCUGGUCUGUCUGGGCCUCUGGGCUAAAGAGAGAGUUCUUUCAGUUUCUUCUGGUCCCAGCUCCACCCCUGGUGAGACACCCCUGGGUGAGUCACCCCUGGAUUACUCCUGGGCCCACCCUCCAAAGGAGUCCACAAGUGUGGCUGCCACUGGUCUGCCCACAUUCCUCUCUGCAGCCAGGGCCAAAGGCAGAAGCUUAUCUCCCCUAGCCUUGCCACCUUCCCACCCUACACCCAGUCCUGUGGCUCGACCUUUCCCCAUCCUCCUGAUCUCCCUACUUCUUGUCACAUCUGUUACGAAGCCCUAGUCCAAAUUCCCAUCAGGUCUUAGUCACACUACUGCAAAAGCUUCCUGAAUAUCCUGUCACGUGCUACGAUAUGGAUGAACCUAAGGACACCACGCUGGGGGAGAUGGGCCAGUCAUAAAAGGACAAACCCUGCACGAUUCUACUAACACAAGGUUUUCCUUUCUUCAAUGAGCCAGUGAGCCACAGCACCCCAAGGUAGUUGGAGAGCACAUAACCCCAGUAGGGAGGGCCUACAGCCUCUUCCACUUUGAAGAAGCUAUAGAAGACAGAGACCUCAGCACCCCAUAAAGAAUUAUGUGUCUCUCAGGGGAAAUGAGACAGGAGAUUAGGGUGUGGCAAAACUGGCUGAGAAGUAGGGGUGACCUGUUAAUUACAAGAUGUGCAGAACAGUUCCCAAAGCCCUGCACCUGGACUUCUUUCAAAAACUCAAGCAGGUUUUCAACAGGGUGGCCUAGACCUGACCCAACCUGGGGCAUGGGAUCCCAGCACCACUCUCAGGACUCAUGUGUAGAAGUUCUCUCAGGUUUCCUCGAGAUGUGGACAGCAUGAAAGGACACAGACACCAAGAAGAGCUCACUAUUGUGGCUUUCCUCCCCAUAGCCCACCUCGCAUCUUCCAGGGUGUACUUUUAUCUUGCCUUUUUCCUCCUUUGCUUGAUCCAAGCUCACUCUGCAGAGCCACAGAGCCAGUUUCUUUCUCCCUCACUCUUUCUUCACUUUUAUUUUUUCAAAU